UGAAUACGAGAUGCUACGGCGUCGAAGCAGUCUAUGUCAUACUUCCAAGAAAAGCUCGCACUGUCAUAAACAAAUAAUGCCUGUACCAUAACCGACACAGGUGGGUAGGUAGAGUAUACUAAGGGGCGCGAGAUAACUCUCUCUAAGGAACUCGGCAAAAUGACUCCGUAACUUCGGGAGAAGGAGUGCCUUAUUUAUAAGGUUGCAAUAACAAGAUCCAAGCAACUGUUUAUCAAAAACACAGGUCUCCGCUAAGUCGUAAGACGAUGUAUGGGGGCUGACGCCUGCCCAGUGCCAGAAGGUUAAAGAAGUUGGUUAGCAUUCGCGAAGCUGAUAACUGAAGCCCUGGUGAACGGCGGCCGUAACUAUAACGGUCCUAAGGUAGCGAAAUUCCUUGUCGGGUAAGUUCCGACCCGCACGAAAGGCGUAAUGAUUUGGAUACUGUCUCGGAGAGGGGCUCGGUGAAAUAGACUUGUCUGUGAAGAUGCGGACUACCUGCACCAGGACAGAAAGACCCUAUGAAGCUUUACUGUAACUUGAGAUUGAAAUUGGACUUUACUUGCGCAGUAUAGGUGGGAGGCGUUGAUAAUAUUCUUGCGGGAUUAUUUGAGCCAUCAGUGAGAUACCACUCUUGUAAUGUUAGAUUUCUAACUUUGUAUCAUUAUCUGGUCAAAGGACAGUUUCAGGCGGGCAGUUUGACUGGGGCGGUCGCCUCCUAAACGGUAACGGAGGCGCACAAAGGUUUCCUCUGAACGGGUAGAAAUCGUAUCUAGAGUGUAAAGGCAUAAGGAAGCUUGACUGUGAGACCUACAAGUCGAGCAGGGACGAAAGUCGGUCUUAGUGAUCUGACGGUGCUGAGUGGAAAGGCCGUCACUCAACGGAUAAAAGUUACUCUAGGGAUAACAGGCUGAUCUCCCCCAAGAGUUCACAUCGACGGGGAGGUUUGGCACCUCGAUGUCGGCUCAUCGCAUCCUGGGGCGGUAGUACGUCCCAAGGGUUGGGCUGUUCGCCCAUGAAAGCGGUACGCGAGCUGGGUUCGGAACGUCGUGAGACAGUUCGGUCCAUAUCCGGUGUAGGCGUUAGAAUAUUGAGAGGAGCCUUCUUUAGUACGAGAGGACCGAGAAGGACAUACCUCUGGUGUACCAGUUAUCGUGCCAACGGUAAACGCUGGGUAGCUAUGUAUGGAGUGGAUAACCGCUGAAAGCAUCUAAGUGGGAAGCCCACCUCAAGAUAAGUAUUCU
rnacentral:rRNA from 1 species